GCGCCCGUAGUUCAACGGAUAGAAUUCAAGCUUGCGGAGCUUGUGAUCCAAGUUCGAUUCUUGGCGGGCGCA
rfam:Candidatus Thrbacteria bacterium RIFCSPHIGHO2_12_FTLL_57_11 rifcsphigho2_12_scaffold_8515, whole genome shotgun sequence.